GACGAACCGUGCGAACGUUGUUCGGAUUCACUGGGCUUAAAGGGCGCGUAGGCGGUCGACCAAGUCUGGGGUGAAAUCUUUCGGCUCAACCGGAAAAGUGCCCCCGAUACUGGCCGGCUAGAGGGAGAUAGGGGCAUGUGGAACUUCCGGUGGAGCGGUGAAAUGCGUAGAUAUCGGAAGGAACGCCGGUGGCGAAAGCGACGUGCUGGAUCUCUUCUGACGCUGAGGCGCGAAAGCCAGGGGAGCAAACGGG
rnacentral:rRNA from 1 species